AUGUUCUGUUUCUCUCCUGCUUGUACAAGAGGUCAUUUGUGGGAAGACAGUUGACAGUUGGAAGAAAAAAGAUGAUUCUAAGCACACUUAUGCCGUGAGUGCACACCCACCAUCUUUCCUUUCUCAUCUGCCUCGACAAGAGUAACUACAGAAUCGGCUGUGGAGGGAACAACGUUUACACUUCGGAGAUUAUUUGACGAUGGAAGGAUUUAUUGGCAAGGUGAAUGUGGCGUUGUAAGGGGCGCUCAUAGUCGUUCCAACAAGACACGAUUUGCUGACCCAUUAUAAGCGCAAACUCAGGACUUCGGUCGCCCUGCAAGGUGAAUGUGGCGUUGUAAGGGGCGCUCAUAGUCGUUCCAACAAGUCACGAUUUGCUGACCCAUUAUAAGCGCAAACUCGGGACUUUGGUCGCCCUGCAAGGUGAAUGUGGCGUUGUAAGGGGCGCUCAUAGUCGUUCCAACAAGGCAUUUUGCUGACAGCAAGGCGAUUUGCUGACCCAUUAGAAGCGCAAACUCGGGACUUUGGUCGCCCUGCAAGGUAUUCAUGCAUG